ACGAGAAUGCCUUUAUUUAAAAAAAAAAGAAAAAAAAAGAAAAGUCAUCAAAAUAAGUUAGCAAAAAUAAUAAUUAAAAAAAGAAAACACAAACAAAUGGCAACUGCACACAGCGGUCAGUAGGAAAGCCGGCGAAGGCAGCCCGCCGGAGAGAGACCUUGGUCGAAGAGCAACUUGGAAACAGCCACAUUGGCUGUGGCACACGUGUUGGCCCCCAAGGAAGGAAAGCCCCCGGCCUGGGGGACCCAGGGCCACCGCCAGCCACCGCCAUCACACUUCUCCCCUUUUCUUUUUUCCACCGGUGGGAACGUUUGGAGAGGAGUGGGAAAGGAUUUGGGCGGUUUCAGCGCUGCAGUCCACAGUGUCGGAGGGGUAAUUAUGAUUUCCAGCUGCUGGAUCCUUCCAGCAUCACCAUCCCACCCCGUUUCCAGCUCAGAGAGCCGCGGGGCUUUGCGCCAGCUCAGUUUUGGACCCGCUCCUCUGGGAACGUCACGGCCACGUCCUCCACGGCGAUGCUCUCCACGAUGGAGGAGAGCGAGUGGAGGUUGCGGUCCUCUGCCUGGUCAUCGCUCAGGAGGUGAUCUGCGGGGUUGGUGCCAAACUCCAGCUGGGUGCUCCACUCAGGGCUGCAGGAUGAGCUGCCAGAGCCGCACUCGCUGGGUGCAGCAGGUUGUGGUGCAGCGGGGCGGUAGCGCAGCUCCCUCUGCUCACGCUCCUGCUGGUUGAGGCUGCUGAGCAGGCUCUGCAGGCGCUCGAUGUACUGGAUGGCGCUGCGCAGGAUCUCCACCUUGGGCAGCCGCUGGUUGGGGUUGAGCAGAGUGCUGCGUUUCAGAGCCUCGAAGGCUUCGUUCACCUUCUUCAGCCUCCGCUUCUCCCGCAGCGUGGCCGCCCGACGCCGGUCGAUGGACACGGUUUUGCGCUUGCAGAUUUUGCAAGCCCAUGGCAAGCAUUGCCCGGGGCAGUGCUCGGGCAGCGUCGAGUCCUUCUCCUCCAAAGCCCCUCUGCUUUCAGGGCACAGGGUCACCUCGGGACGCUCAGGAAACGCGGCCGCCUCGUAGCCCUGCAAGCGGGAGCCCAGGAAGUUUUCCCCAUCGUAAAACCUCUGCUCCGGGAAAAAGUAAGGGUUGGUCUCAAAGAGCUCCAUGGGAGGACGUGUGCGCGGCUCGGGGACG
rnacentral:lncRNA from 1 species